rnacentral:Y_RNA from 1 species
GGCUGGUCCAAAGGUAGCGAGUUACCUUACUUGAUUGUUCACAGUUACAGAUUGAACUCUUUGUUCUACUACUUUGCCCCUUCUCUCUACUGCACUUGACUAGUCUUAA